GUAAAAUUCCAUUUUGUUGCUUGUUAGGUACUGCUUUUAAAUCAACUGCUGGAUGUUCUCAAUCAACAAGCAUUCAGCUUAGAUUUCAACUUCACCCGCAUGAUUAAUGCUCACGAAACUUUUAACUUGUUGCUUAAAGCCAUUCCUGGAGUUUUUGCAACAGGAAAACUGAAAAUUUUGGAUCACAAACAUUCAAUUUUGGCACGUGUACUAACAUUUUCAAUUUCAACAAGCGCUUUCAUCAUCUGUGGACAAAUACGAGGAAUUGACGCACUGAACUAUCAUAUUAGUCUCUACAAACGCUUUUACUGCUCAUGACUUGAUUAAUACCUUAUUGCAGAGCCGAUCUAACCACAUGGCUCUAAAGGCUCAAUAGUUCUUUCAAUAAAUUUCAUCCAGAGAUAUGAAGGAUGCAGCAACAGGCCCUUCCAAAACGGUGAAGAAAUACACAGUAGAGAGCAAGAGCCAGGUAGAGAUUACUGUUGAGAAAUGUGACAACUAAACGCCAUUUUCACUGAAUGAGAGAUAUAUCAGACAGGACAGGACCAUUGCCGUUUCCAGGUAAUUUAAUGAGACGCAUCGUCUUGUGCCAGAAGGAAAAAUCAAAUAACAAACCCAUCUUUCUU
rnacentral:misc_RNA from 1 species